UGCUUCAUCCAGUUUAGGGGUGGACCUGAUGUCCCUGAGUGUAUGUGGCGAACCUGGAUUUGCCUUGGGUUUCCUCAUACUCAUUCAGGAGUGUCAGUUGCCCCUUCAUGCGACGUUGGAGAGCA
rnacentral:pre_miRNA from 1 species